AGAGUUUGAUCCUGGCUCAGAACGAACGCUGGAGGCGUGGCUAAGACAUGCAAGUCGAACGGUACGCUUGACUUCGGUUGGGCGUAUAGUGGCGAACGGGUGAGGAAUAAAUAGGUAACGUACCCCGGGCACAGGGAUACCAUCGGGAGCUUGCUCCCUUUGCGAAAGUGAUGUUAAUACCUGACGACGUCUUUGGAUGGCAUCAUCUAAAGAUCAAGGGUGGGGACCUUCGGGCCUGCCGGCCUGGGAGCGGCCUAUUUCCUAUCAGCUUGUUGGUGAGGUAAUGGCUCACCAAGGCAGCGACGGGUAGCCGGACUGAGAGGUUGAACGGCCACAUCGGGACUGAGACACUGCCCGGACACCUGCGGGUGGCUGCAGUAACGAAUAUUCCGCAAUGGGCGAAAGCCUGACGGAGCGACGCCUCGUGGAGGACGAAUUCCCUCGGGAUGUAAACUCCUGUAAGAUUUGAGAAACAAGGGUGGGUAAUAUCCGCCUGCGUUGAUCUGGAUCCUAGAAGCAUCGGCUAACUCCGUGCCAGCAGCCGCGGUAAUACGGAGGAUGCGAGCGUUGUUCGGAUUUACUGGGCGUAAAGGGCGCGUAGGCGGACCUUCAAGUCGGAAGUGAAAACCGUUGGCUUAACCAGCGGCCUGCUUUCGAUACUGUCGGUCUUGAGUUCAGGAGAGGAAAGCGGAAUUCCAGGUGUAGCGGUGAAAUGCGUAGAUAUCUGGAAGACACCGGUAGCGAAGGCGGCUUUCUGGCCUGCCACUGACGCUAAAGCGCGAAGGCUAGGGUAGCAAACAGGAUUAGAUACCCUGGUAGUCCUAGCAGUAAACGAUGGGUACUAGGUGUCGGGGGUAUCGACCCCCUCGGUGCCGCAGCUAACGCAUUAAGUACCCCGCCUGGGGAGUACGAUCGCAAGAUUGAAACUCAAAGGAAUUGACGGGGGCCCGCACAAGCGGUGGAGUAUGUGGUUUAAUUCGAGGCAACGCAAGAACCUUACCUGGGUUUGACAUGCUUGAGACAUCCGGUGAAAGCCGGCUUUCCCUUCGGGGACUCUUGCACAGGUGCUGCAUGGCUGUCGUCAGCUCGUGCCGUGAGGUGUUGGGUUAAGUCCCGCAACGAGCGCAACCCUUGUCCAUAGUUGCCAUCAGGUAAUGCUGGGGACUCUAUGGAGACUGCCGGUGAUAAGCUGGAGGAAGGUAGGGAUGACGUCAAGUCAUCAUGGCCCUUAUAUCCAGGGCUACACAGUACUACAAUGGUCGGUACAAUAGGAUGCAAGACCGCGAGGUGGAGCAAAACCUCAAAACCGGCCUCAGUUCAGAUUGGAGUCUGCAACUCGACUCCAUGAAGUUGGAAUCGCUAGUAAUCGCGGAUCAGCAUGCCGCGGUGAAUACGUUCCCGGGCCUUGUACACACCGCCCGUCACACCACGAAAGUGGGUUAUACCCGAAGUCGGUUUCCUAACCGCAAGGAAGGAGCCGCCCACGGUAUGACUCAUGAUUGGGGGAAGUCGUAACAAGGUAACC
rnacentral:rRNA from 1 species